GGGGCACCGUUGUGUUGAAACCAGUUUAAAUUACGUCGUGUUUCCAAAUCUAACCCAUCCUCCAUAUUUUGAAAUUCAUUUGGUAGAAAAUGAAGAUAGGUAACAUUGGCUUGCCCAAUUUUCAUCGUAAAUGAAAGGUACCUAUCUCACUAGAUAUUGUUUUCCAUGGUCAACUCAGUUUACUUACCUCUCAAUAAUACGAAAAUUACUGCAGGGCGUUUAUUUAUUAAAGUACAUUUAUUUAUUUAUUUAUUUAUUCAUGUUCAUGUUAGGGUGCAAAGCACUUACAAUUGUCAAAAAAGGUUUACAUGUAAAAGUGUGUAUAACAUAAGUCAAAAAUGGAAGAAACAAACAAUAAUACAUUAACACUAAAUCACACUACUAACUUACAUCUAACAUGUUUGUAAGUUUCGCAUGAUCCCCAAAUUCAUCCAGGGUGUAAAAAGCAUGUUCAGUUAGGAAUUUUUAACGACACAUUUAAAUUUGGUAUGGUAUUCGGUAAUUCCUUGAUAUGAACAGAAAUAAGAUUAGCAAGACUUAUAUCAUUAUAAAGAGAAAAAUUUGUCCUUUUUAAAAAUAUCAAAGGCCAACUAUAACUACCAUUUAAAAAAAUUAAAGUUUGUAUUAUAACUCAAACACUUGGAUUGUCGCCGAUUUCUUGGAAAUGGAGGGGGUAAGGCCAUGGAAUGAUCCCGGUGCUGUCCGAGAAGUACCCUAAUUGGUAGAUGAGUUCAUCGCUUUUUCAUACGAGAUUCUCAAUAUAAAAUGCAGUUGGUUAACACCACAUUGGCAUGAAACACAGGGUGCGUCAAAUACUUCCACCUUUAUUGCUUCUGAUGAUUUUUGUUUAGUUAACUCACUUGGAUUGUCGCCGAUUUCUUGGAAAUGGAGGGGGUAAGACCAUGGAAUGAUCCCGGUGCUGUCCGAGAAGUACCCUAAUUGGUAGAUGAGUUCAUCGCUUUUUCAUACGAGAUUCUCAAUACAAAAUGCAGUUGGUCACCACCACAUUGGCAUGGAAUACAGGUUUACUCACUUGGAUUGUCGUCGAUUUCUUUGAAAUGGAGGGGGUAAGGCCAUGGAACGAUCCCUGUGCUGUCCGAGAAGUGCCCUAAUUGGUAGAUGAGGUCAUCGCUUUUUCAUAUGAGAUUCUCAAUACAAAAUGCAGUUGGUCACCACCACAUUGGCAUGGAAUACAGGUUUACUCACUUGGAUUGUCGUCGAUUUCUUUGAAAUGGAGGGGGUAAGGCCAUGGAACGAUCCCUGUGCUGUCCGAGAAGUGCCCUAAUUGGUAGAUGAGGUCAUCGCUUUUUCAUAUGAGAUUCUCAAUACAAAAUGCAGUUGGUCACCACCACAUUGGCAUGGAAUACAGGUUUACUCACUUGGAUUGUCGUCGAUUUCUUUGAAAUGGAGGGGGGUAAGGCCAUGGAACGAUCCCUGUGCUGUCCGAGAAGUACCCUAAUUGGUAGAUGAGGUCAUCGUUUUUUCAUAUGAGAUUCUCAAUAUAAAAUUCAGUUGGUCACCACCACAUUGGCAUGGAAUAGAGGUUAACUCACUUGGAUUGUCACCGGAGUUCGAUCUGGACUGGCAAAGAGGACGGUUGUCCCUGGCGAGUUCUGUGUUUACUUUGUUUACUUUACCUACUUUAGUAAAGAAUUCGGUAAAUAUUGAACGCGAGGAGGAUCCGAGCUUAAAUCCGGCUGAAGCCCAAGCUGAAUUUGUCUUUUAAAAAAAGACAAAGCUAAUUAAACGCGUGAUCUUAAUUUAAUUAAAUUGUGGCAAAACAGUGUAGAAACUAAAUCAACAGGGCGAAAAGCUAAGUACUAGGGUUAAGGUUAUUAUUUAAUUUAAAUCAAAUUCAAUUCAAUUUAAUUGAACUAGUGAUAGAAUAGAGACACGGGCCACGGGGGACAAUUUACCAGGUAGUCUAGCUAGAUAAACGAGACGUCAGAAUAUCGCGGGUUAGCAGUACACAUGGUCAUGAAAAAUUAAAAUUAGACCCUUUUGAAAGGAAACAUAAACCUGUCAAUCGGCGAAAUACAAACACCCACCCAUGAAGCAGGCCAUUUACAUUCUCAAGUUGACGAAAUUUUUUUUUCUAUAAUGGGAAAACGCUAAGGUCAAUAAUAAUGCAUUCCGAAGGCUGGCAAGUUUUUGUGCGGGUAGAAUUAUAACGUUUUCAAACAAAUUCAUUCUACGGGAUAAAUAAGAAGUCUGCUCCCUUUGAUCGACCCAAUUAAUCUAAAUUCCACUUCACGGUUACCUUCCAACACACAUAAUACAGGGCGGCUAAGUUAAGACUAAACUGCAUGGGCAUGGGCACGGGCACGUCUCACUGGGGCAAAUCAUAACUCAAUUCAAUUAUCUCUUUCAGGGUUCACUUUUCAGUGUUCAACUACUUUCUCUUAACGAGUAGCAACAGAGAGCAAACAGGAUGACCGAAGAAGUACGCACAAACGGGCACAUCCUAGAGUGCGUCAGGAUAAAUAAGGAUGGGGACUGCCUGUUUGGAGCGAUUGGGUAUCAACUGAGGGGAUUCCCAGUGACAUCAGAACCUCACAGGAAAUUAACCAAAAGGAUUAGAGAAGAAACCAACGCUUACAUCAGGGAAAACCUGGAAGAUUUCUACCCACAGUUGAUAGGAAACGUAGUGGAACUAGAACCCCGGUAUGAACAAUAUGCCAAGAUGGAGGAAAAGAUCGAAGCAUACCUCAGGGACCACAGAAAGCAGGGAUUCUGGGGAGGAUACGAGUCACUGGUGGCGGCGGCCAAUACGUACAACAGCGAGAUAGCGGUGUACGAGGAAGGAGGGGGGAAGCAUGUUAUAGAACCAAGAGCAACAACGGGAGCCACAGGUCACUGCCACCUAGCAUACAUAUUAGGGAGUAGCAAUGUCCGGAAUCACUAUGAUAGCGUGAUGCGGGCAGAAAACUUGAUAGGGAGGUAGAAGAGGAAGAGGAGGAAUACCGACGAACGCGAGUGUUAGGCGAAUACGAAGAAGCGAGAGGAGCCGCUGCCCCUAACGAAUACAGUCUUAGUAUGGUGUCCGGAAAGAGUGCCUCGCAGAGGAGAAGAUAAAACCAGGAUAGGACCCAAGAUAUAGAAGGAGACAGCAGCAUGAGGGUAACCACGUAGAAUGUGCAAGGGGCAAGCGACCCAAGGAAAAGGCAGCUAAUUGACGAUUAAUUACGGAAACAAGGAAUAGAUGUAGCCGCAGUCUACAAGGAACCAAACUAGCAAGUGGGAUGGCUGCGACAAGGAACUACGACGUGGAUAGGUGGAGGGAAGAAGGAGAGAACUAGCAGAGGUACGGCAAUCGUAAUCAAAAAGUGCCGAGGCAAUGAGGUAGAGAAAUUUGAAGAAAAAAGCGAGAGUAUAUCCAGCACAAGCGACCAAUUACAACUACCGACACUACUGGCGUACGCGGACAACAUACUCGUAAUCGCGAAUAAGUUAGAAGACAUUGAGGACUUCGUCCAAACCAGCGAGGUAUACCUGGAAAUGGUCGCCUCAUAAGCACAAGAUUAAAUAUCUGGGAGCGUACAUAAGCAGCACACUCAGCAAGCACAACAGUGUGAAAGACAGAAUAACCAACGCAUUCAGAAUCCCACAUGGAAUUCGGAACUUCAUACGAGAGAAGAAAAUACAGGCCAGCUUGAAAAUGAUGAUUUACAACACGAUCAUAGCACCGGCAAUCUUAUACGGAGUUAACACCUCCGCACUAACAAGAAGUUACAGACGAACUUUGAGGAGGGCGGAGCGGAUGGCAUUUAGGAUACUGAUGGAAAACAGCAACCUUACAAGAAAGCAGAUAAGGGAAUUACUAGAGGGAAAGACGAUCACCAGGACACUGAAGAUUAGGCAGAUGAGAUACUGGGGACAAAUACCUUAUCCUACGGACUGCCAAGAUUUGAUGUGCCUCGGAAUGGAAGGUAGGUCGACCCUGCUUCACAUGGAACACCACCAUAGACCAAACGGUAACGGCCUCGGGGCUUGCCAUGGGAAGAAGGGAAGAGUGGAGCAGAGACAAGCAUCAAAUGAAGAAAGAAAACAGAAGAACACUGGAGGUGGAGGAAGAAUCAGACAUAAGCACAAGCAGUGAAGAAGAGGAGGAAGAGGGGACGACAGAAUAUAACGCAAGGAGAGGAGAAUAAAAAAGGGAAGAACAGGGAAGGGAACGAUACCAAAGGAUAGGAACAUCGGAAACAAAUGAACGCCCGGAGAAGAAGCUAUCACU